UACAGAGGGUGCAAGCGUUGCUCGGAAUCAUUGGGCGUAAAGGGUAGGUAGGUGGUCUCGUUUGUCUGGGGUGAAAGCCUUGAGCUUAACUCAAGAAGUGCCCUAGAAACGGCGAGACUAGAGUCUUGGAGAGGGUCGUGGAAUUCCCGGUGUAGCGGUGAAAUGCGUAGAGAUCGGGAGGAACACCAGAGGCGAAGGCGGCGACCUGGACAAGUACUGACACUCAACUACGAAAGCGUGGGGAGCAAACAGG
rnacentral:rRNA from 1 species